rnacentral:rRNA from 1 species
AUUGAACGCUGGCGGCAUGCCUUACACAUGCAAGUCGAACGGCAGCGCGGGGCAACCUGGCGGCGAGUGGCGAACGGGUGAGUAACAUAUCGGAACAUACCCUAGAGUGGGGAUAACGUAGCGAAAGUUACGCUAAUACCGCAUACGCACUAAGGUGGAAAGUGGGGGAUCUUCGGACCUCAUGCUCAUGGAGUGGCCGAUAUCUGAUUAGCUAGUUGGUGAGGUAAAGGCUCACCAAGGCGACGAUCAGUAGCUGGUUUGAGAGAACGACCAGCCACACUGGAACUGAGACACGGUCCAGACUCCUACGGAGGCAGCAGUGGGGAAUUUUGGACAAUGGGGGCAACCCUGAUCCAGCAAUGCCGCGUGAGUGAAGAAGG